UUCGUUCUCGUGUCCAUUGCCUCCCCGGUGGUUUGGCUUCCGUCACCGCCAGCCGCCAGGGAGGCUCUUUCUCCUCAUUCUAUUUCCUUUCAUGUGGUGUUUUCUUCUCUCCUUUCCGAUGUGGUCAGCUUCUCUUCUUUUCUAUUUCCUUUCAUGUGAAUAUUCAACUAACUUAAUCUUCAAAAAAAAAAAAAAAAAAAAAAAAAAAAAAAAAAAAAGAAUAUUCAACCAACUUUUAUAAAUGAUAUUCUAACCUUACCCGAACAGAAUUCGAAAGCCCAACUCUAAUUAGUACUCGUUUAGGACAAAAGUAAACUCUUCCGGAGAAGGUGAUGAUAGUAAAAAAAUUCAAACACAAAAGACAAUAAAUUGAAACUCCACAAUUCAUGAAAAUCAAAACAUUAAUAAAUUUAUUUAUCAAACAAAAAAUCCGAUAAAUAUACAUAAUAAACCAGUGUUCUAAAACGGGUUAUAUGGUCAUCAAACAGUAAAUAAACCUCUACCAGCUAGCUGUAAAAGCAAACG
rnacentral:lncRNA from 1 species